rnacentral:lncRNA from 1 species
ACUCUACUGAUAAGUGACUGAUUUUCCCUGCAAGGAUUGUCUUAUUUUAAACUUCAAAUUUAGUUGCCUUACUUUAUGUAAGGCAAUUUUGAAUGGGUUUUAAAGUGCAGUUGAAGACUAUUCAUACCUUUCUAAACCUAGAAGGCAGGAGUAGUGAACUAACGAUGGGAAGGGUGUAUCCCAGCCUUUCCAGCAUAAGGGGAAAGAGGGCUUGUCAAUGGGGAAUGUCUAAUGUGGAGAACAUGUAGGAGACAGAUGCACCGAGAUACAAAGCCAGCCAUGAACUUGCUGCACAGAGGCCAGAGUGACUGAUUUUCCUUUUGGUUACCCCUCAUUUUCAGAACCAUCUUAUGUAAAACACCCAUGAAAUACAAGAAUGAAUUAUUAAACUUAAAAAAGAGUAACUUGUGGCCGGGCGCGGUGGCUCAUGCACUUUGGGAGGCCGAGGUGGGUGGAUCACAAGGUCUGGAGAUCAAGACCUUCCUGGCUAACACAGUGAAACCCCAUCUCUACUAAAAAAAUACAAAAAGUUAGCUGGGUGUGGUGGCAUGUGCCUGUAGUCCCAGCUACUCGGGAGGCUGAGGCAGGAGAAUCAUCGCUUGAACCCGGAGGCAGAGUUGCAGUGAGCCAAGAUCACGUCAGUGCACUCCAGUCUGAGUGACAGAGUGAGACUGUCUCAAACAAACAAACAAACAAACAAACAAACUUGUAUUAACAUCUCCAUUGCCCCAUUUGCACUCCAGAAAUGGCUCAUUGAGGGGAAUUACAGUUUUCUGCAGAGAUGUAGGGAAGUACUUUGAGUGGUAGAGGUAGAAGUGGUAACAUCUAGGGGAGAGUUUGUGUUUACUCGGACUGGGGAUGGUAUGGCAGAGGCCAGUGGCAUAAAGAGCUUCAUAUGGAGACACUGGGUCUGAGAUAGGGAGUCACAGUCAGUGUGGCGGGGGCCAGAUGUGGAUCUCUGAGAGUCCACUUGGAGUGAUGGUGACUGAGACAGCAUUGGCAAGUGCUCAGCUAGGUGCCAUGGGCCAAGACAUGUGAGGACUACAACAACCUUGGACAAAAGAAGCUACGUC